rnacentral:rRNA from 1 species
ACUCCUACGGGAGGCAGCAGUGGGAAUAUUGCACAAUGGGCGCAAGCCUGAUGCAGCCAUGCCGCGUGUAUGAAGAAGGCCUCGGGUUGUAAAUGUACUUUACAGCAGUGAGGAAGGUGGAGUCGUUAAUAGCGGCCUCAUUUGACGUUAGCUGCAGAAGAAGCACCGGCUAACUCCGUGCCAGCAGCCGCGGUAAUACGGAGGGUGCGAGCGUUAAUCGGAAUUACUGGGCGUAAAGCGCAUGCAGGUGGUUUGUUAAGUCAGAUGUGAAAG